CCCGACAAUCUAGCCAGCUUUCUACCCACCUUAUAGUGCAUUCAUCCAGCCCAUACUUCCUUAACUUGCUGACAAGAAUACUGUGGGAGACCGUGUCAAAAGCUUUGCUAAAGUCAAGAAAGUCAUAGUUGAGUCUGCAGGCUGCUCCACUGCUAUUUCUGGUAGUUUUGCCAAGCAUUAGCAACUGAAAUUAACACAACUCCAGUCACUUUACUGCUGUUGUUCUGUCCUCUGGGAAGCAGCAAAAGUGACAAAAAUCACUAUCUGUUGAAACUGGGGGAGGAGGGAGGAGAUGAUCUUCUGGUGGGUCACCUCAGGCAGAGCAGGGAUUUGAUCCUAGGUCCCCCAUAUGCCAGCUGGAUGUCCUGACUACUAUGUUUUUUCAGCUAUUGCGGGAUGGAACUCUACUGCAGGAGCUGUUCUACUUCGUAUAAAUUAUUCAUUGGGCCAGAGAGAGAAACAGAUUCUAUAACCCAUUGGCUGGAUCUGAAGGGAAAGGAAUGUACCCCACACAAAAUGGUACCUUGGGAAGAACAGAACUAAAUGUCAAUGAAUGGAUUCUCCUCUAAAUCUCUCCUCUACCCCACAUCUUCAGCUAAUAUUCCACAGCUAAUGCUUAGCUAUGCUUGUAUGCUCCCUCUGCUACUCUCAUGAUUACAACUGAAGAAAAGAAAACCCAAGACAUUAAUGUGACAGCUGACAUGGUUAUAUGCCUAAAUAUGUAAAAAAUAAAAAGAACCUCUCCUAGGAGCUUUAA